CCUGGCUCAGAUUGAACGCUGGCGGCAUGCCUAACACAUGCAAGUCGAACGGCAGCACAAGUCUAGCUUGCUAGGUUGGUGGCGAGUGGCGAACGGGUGAGUAACGCGUAGGAAUAUACCUUAAAGAGGGGGACAACUUGGGGAAACUCAAGCUAAUACCGCAUACACUCUGAGGAGAGAAGCUGGGGACCAUUAGGCCUGGCGCUUUAAGAUUAGCCU
rnacentral:rRNA from 1 species